UACGUAGGGGGGCAAGCGUUGUCCGGAUUUAUUGGGCGUAAAGAGCGUGUAGGCGGCUUUACAGGUCCGUUGUGAAAACUCGAGGCUCAACCUCGAGACGUCGGUUGAAACCGCUUGGCUAGAGUCCGGAAGAGGAGAGUGGAAUUCCCGGUGUAGCGGUGAAAUGCGCAGAUAUCGGGAAGAACACCCGUGGCGAAGGCGGCUCUCUGGGACGGUACUGACGCUGAGACGCGAAAGCGUGGGGAGCGAACAGG
rnacentral:rRNA from 1 species